CGCGGCCUAUCAGCUUGUUGGUGGGGUGAUGGCCUACCAAGGCGACGACGGGUAGCCGGCCUGAGAGGGCGACCGGCCACACUGGGACUGAGACACGGCCCAGACUCCUACGGGAGGCAGCAGUGGGGAAUAUUGCACAAUGGGCGGAAGCCUGAUGCAGCGACGCCGCGUGAGGGAUGACGGCCUUCGGGUUGUAAACCUCUUUCAGCAGGGACGAAGCGAGAGUGACGGUACCUGCAGAAGAAGCGCCGGCCAACUACGUGCCAGCAGCCGCGGUAAGACGUAGGGCGCGAGCGUUGUCCGGAUUUAUUGGGCGUAAAGAGCUCGUAGGCGGCUUGUCGCGUCGAAUGUGAAAUCCUGCGGCUCAACUGCAGGCUUGCAUUCGAUACGGGCAGGCUCGAGUUCGGUAGGGGAGACUGGAAUUCCUGGUGUAGCGGUGAAAUGCGCAGAUAUCAGGAGGAACACCGGUGGCGAAGGCGGGUCUCUGGGCCGAUACUGACGCUGAGGAGCGAAAGCGUGGGGAGCGAACAGGAUUAGAUACCCUGGUAGUCCACGCCGUAAACGGUGGGAACUAGGUGUUGGCGACAUUCCACGUCGUCGGUGCCGCAGCUAACGCAUUAGGUUCCCCGCC
rnacentral:rRNA from 1 species